rnacentral:rRNA from 1 species
UACGUAGGGUGCGAGCGUUGUCCGGAAUUACUGGGCGUAAAGAGCUCGUAGGCGGUUUGUCGCGUCGUCCGUGAAAACUUGGGCUCAACCCCAAGCUUGCGGCGAUACGGGCAGACUUGAGUACUGCAGGGGAGACUGGAAUUCCUGGUGUAGCGGUGAAAUGCGCAGAUAUCAGGAGGAACACCGGUGGCGAAGGCGGGUCUCUGGCAGUAACUGACGCUGAGGAGCGAAAGCGUGGGUAGCAAACAGG